ACAUCCACUCUUUGAGACUCAUUUUCGAGAUUUAAUCCACUAUACUUAUCCAAAGCUUUACAAACUGCUUGUCUUCUAGGUGCAAGCAACCUUUAUACUUAGAGAUAUCCGAGCUAACCCUUGGUGGAUCUACUUCCCCAAACACUCCCUUGUUUAUCUAGAGUAUGAUCCUUCCAAGCAAUCCUCUCUAUCACUCAAGCUAACAAGAGCUCAACAACUCUCUUACAAUACUUAAUUAAAAUAACAAGAAUAAAAGCAUAACACUCAACUUUUCAAUAAGAAAGACCUUUUACUUGUAAGCACAAUACUCUCUUGAUUUCUCUUCAAUCCUAUGGAACUCACUUUUUUGUUGCAAAAUGAGGUAUGAACCUCCUUUUAUAGGCUUUAGAAGUCAUUUUUUUCGUUUGAAACAAUUUGAAGCUUUGGAAACUCUUUUUCAA
rnacentral:lncRNA from 1 species